rnacentral:miRNA from 10 species
AGUAUCUGCUGUGCUAUUCGUG